rnacentral:rRNA from 1 species
AGCAGCCGCGGUAAUUCCAGCUCCAAUAGCGUAUAUUAAAGUUGUUGCAGUUAAAAAGCUCGUAGUUGAAUUUCGAGAUCAAUUUUCUUGGUCAUACCUUUGUAUGUACUGGUCUUAUUGAUUUCUCCCUUCUGAUGAACCAUGAUGUCAUUAAUUUGGUGUUAUGGGGAAUCAGGACUAUUACUUUGAAAAAAU